UAACGGCUGGUGGGGAGCGGCCUCCUGGGGCUCGGGGUGUCAGCGCCUGGCUGCCUCCAGCCCUGCAGCAACGGCUGCACCCGCUCAAGGCAGCCCGCUGGCGCCCUGCCACAGGAGGGGCAGCAGAAAUCGCAUCCCUCCGAUGUUGCUACCAGCAGCUGCUUCCGCCAUGCGAACAUGGUCUUUUUCCUACCCGCCAGGACUUGCCACCACCUGGUCGGGUCGCGAAUGCGGAGGGAUGGGGUCUGCUCUCACAACCUGCAGAAUUUGCUGCUUUUGGCUAAUUUGCCGUUGAUUUAUUUGAUUAUUGAGGCGCUGUUUCAUUUUGUGUGCCAGUACCUGUAAAGGGAGGUGAGAUUUUGGGGGUGUGGAGGACAGACAUGAGCCCAACUUGAUCCCAUAGGGGCCCAUUUGAUUUAUUUCAUUUGCCUCCUUGCUUAUUUGCGAUUGAUGUAUUUGAUUAUUGAGGUGUGUUGUCUAGUUUUGUGUGUGAGGACGUGUAAAGGGAGGUGAGGCUUGAGGGUAUGAAGCGCAGACCAGACCCGAUCAAAGGCUACUUUCAAUGGUUGCAAAUUGUGCCAAUUUGGCCCCUAUCUGUCAGACUUCGCUACACAUGCACCUGUGGUCUAGGGAUAGCAAAUUUGGAGGGAUGGGGACAACCGGCAGAAUUUGCUACCUCCUUGCUAAUUUGCAAAUGAUUUAUUUGAUUAUUGAGGUGUGCUGUCUAAUUUUGUGUGCGGGUACAUGUAAAGUGAGGUGAGACUUGGGUUAGGGUUAUUCUAAUCAUACAGAUGCCAUUCUAGCAUAAUCCUAGCUCAGGCUCUAUACUAGGGGUAUCUAAAGCAAUACUUUUUUGAUGGUCAAAUUAAAUGUUAGGGGCUUUCUGCUAGUAUAGGGUAGGUGAAUAAAUAUUUGACUGGGCUGGUAAAUAUUCAUGCCAAUAUUAUUUAUACAGAUAUUAACUUAAAGGAAUAUCAAAUACACAGUAUAUGGGAUACACAUAUUGUAGGUCUCUGUCUUUCAGACUCUGUACAGAAGAAAUUUUUUUAAAAGACCCCACAACAUUCUGCAAUUUCACGCACCCUGCCUUUUAGUAGGGUUAAAUCUGGAAGUAUAUCAGAUGUCUUUUUACAAGGCUGAAUUUCUUGCUGAAAAGAGAAUGAUAAAGAAAACCUGAAUCUGGAAAUUGCCAUCAUUGCCACCAAGACUUCAGAUUCACAUGGGCACCAGGAAGGGGAGCAGAGAGCAAAGAAAAGGCAAUCUACCUGCUCUCAGAUGAGGAGACACCUGAAAGAAACCCGAACCUUGAAAUUUACCCAGCAAAUUGUAGAUCCUCAGCCCAAGAGCUCACAGAACCCUGACCCUGAUGUCAGACCAACAAGCUACAGGUCCCAAGUCAGCAAGACUCCUGCCUUGACAUCAGACCAGCUACCUAAAAGCUGAACCAGUGGACCCUCACCAAGGCCUAUAUCUUUAACCCAGUGCAGCAAGCUGUGGCCAGUCUGCUAGUAAACUUCACAGAGGUCUGCAUGUUGACCUCAGAUCUGCAUGCUAGAGUUGCUGAGCCACAGGUCUCAAAGUCACCAUCUGAUAUCAGCCAGGCAAGCUAGAUGUGGCAAGUCAGUGACCUCACAGAAGCUCAUUACUUGACAUCAGUCCAGAAAACAAGAGAGGCUCUGAGCCAGUAAUUAUCAUAGAUGUGAUAGACCCAGGCCAGUUGGGAACAGCAGAGUAGUAGAAGAGAAAUAUACCGGCCACGGGAUAAGCAGUUUUCUGUUCCCUGAGUGACCAGAGCAGGAGCUGCUCCAGGCUAAUGAGAGCACCUCACUCUAAUUAACCUGCUAAGACUCAGAUGAGGCUGUUAAGCACAGGACUCUAAUUAAGGCCACUCUGAUGCUAUAAAAGGGCUCACUCCAGUCAGGCCAGAGGAGAGGAAGUGCGUGCAAGGAACUGGGAGCAAGAGGCAUGCAAGAGGCUACGCGUCGACCCGGCAGACUAACACGGCUGCUACUCUGAAACCAGAUAUUUUGAGAAAUCCAAAAACAUUGAAUGUCAUGCAGAACUGUUAAAGAUUGCACCGUUCUUUGCUAUUCCUUCUCACAAUGCAAAUGUAGAGCAAAUUUUUUCACUGAUGCAAAGCCAGUGGACAAAGGAAAGGAACAACUUGAAUGUUGAGUCAUUGAAAGGAAUUCUACUUUACAGUACAACUUCAGGCAAACUUCUUGUAAAGACUUUCAUGCCUUCUCAAAGAGCAGUCAACCGCUGCUGAGAAAAAUGUGAUCUACAGAGAAGUAUGUGUGGGCACGUGAGGAGAAAGAAAAACGGAAGAACUAGUGAAAGGAAAGGACUCACUAUAUUUAAUAAUAUAUGGAGAUAGGUAUAUCUCAUAGAACUGGAAGGGACACCAAAGGGUCAUCGAGUCCAGCCCCCUGCCUUCACUAGCAGGACCAAGUACUGAUUUUGCCCCAGAUCCCUAAGUGGGCCCCCUCAAGGAUUGAACUCACGACCCUGCGUUUAGCAGGCCAAUGCUCAAACUUUAAAUAAUUAAAUUUCACUUUUGAGGCCAUAUCACUUUUUCUUAUAUAUACUCAAUAUAGACGACAUGUGGCGCACAGCAUAUAUAACAGUAUAACAACACAUUAAUACAACGCAAGUUGGUAGAUACUGGUGCACAUACCUCCCGUGGAGUGUCCUCUUUUUCGAAUGUUCAAAUAUGGUAACCCUAUCCACCCCCGUUUUUUUUUUUUCCCCUCCAGCCCUUCUUCUGCCGCUACCUACAGUAGCUUGAUCCCCCCAGCCAGGAAAUUUAGGCCCCUGCUCAGAUCCUGACCCCCCCCCCCUGCAGUUUGCCCCCUUUGCCUCUUUUUAACCCCUCUAAAGAGCAGGCAGCAAAGUAUGACUAGAAGUAAGGGCAGAGUGAGGGCAACUGCAACAGCGGAUGUUACUGCGCAUGCUCAGUUCGGGUGAGCAUGCUUAGUGCACCCACAGUAGGGAAUUCUGAGAGGGAGCUUUUUGUGUCGUGCCCAGCUAGGUGACUCUUGGAUCUUGAAAUCCCAUCGGGGGGCUCGGUGCCUCACGCAGCGGGAGACCUGUGGGAUUGGCAAUGCUCUUAUUCCACCUCCAGUACAGCGUGGUUGGGGUCUCUCCUUAGGGUCACUGUCCCCACCUUCCCCUCUGGGCAGCUGUGCCCCUUCAGCCACCCCAUUCAGGACAGGAAGUUAGGGAGUGAAUGCUUAGGGCCUGUCUACCCUGGGAGCUCUCACCCUAUCUGAGCUGGGUGCUGGAAGGGCAGUCUGUUGACCUUCCCCCUUUGUGAAUCUAGGCAAGGUGGGGACAAUGCUUGUUCCAGUUCCACUCCCAGCGAAGAUGUAGCACACAAUCCUGUUCCCCCUCCCCCGGAGAAGGAACUAGAUCAAGGGUUCUCAAGCUCUUUCGUUUUGAGGCCACCCCACCAAUAUCUAUAAAAACUCCACGGCCCACCUGUGCCACAACAACUGUUUUUCUCCAUAUAAAAAUCAGGGCCAGCGUUAAGAGGUAGGAACCAGGGCACUUGCCCAGGGUCCCAUGCCACAAGGAGCACCACAAAGUUAAGUUACUCAGGCUUUGGCUUCAGCCCUGGGAGUUGGAGCUCAGGGCCCCGGGCUGCUGUCCUGCAUGGCAGGGC